UGUUUACAUCCUCACAGGGCAGUUUUCAUGGCAUCCACUACCACACCACAUGAAAGAAAUAAUGAACAGGAUACCAAACAUUGCAACAUGUUGAUAAAAAGUAUGGAUGCUUGAUGAGGCAAAAAGUGAACUUAAGCAGUAAA